UUAGAUCAGAAGCGAGAAUGUUGACAUGAGUAGCGACAAACAGGGUGGGAAACCCUGUCGCCGAAAGUCCAAGGGUUCCUGCUUAAAGCUAAUCUGAGCAGGGUAAGCCGGCCCCUAAGGCGAGGCCGAAAGGCGUAGUCGAUGGGAACCAGGUUAAUAUUCCUGGGCCAGGAGGAUGUGACGGAUCUCGAGGAUUGUCUGCCCUUAUCGGAUUGGGUGGGCCGUUUAGAGGUUCCUGGAAAUAGCCCUCCAUCAGACCGUACCCUAAACCGACACAGGUGGACUGGUAGAGUAUACCAAGGCGCUUGAGAGAACCACGUUAAAGGAACUCGGCAAAAUGCUCCCGUAAGUUCGCGAGAAGGGAGCCCCGUCUGUACGCAAGUAUGGGCGGGGGGCACAAACUAGGGGGUGGCGACUGUUUACUUAAAACACAGGGCUGUGCGAAGCCGUAAGGCGACGUAUACAGUCUGACGCCUGCCCGGUGCUGGAAGAUUAAGAGGAGGGGUGCAAGCUCUGAAUUGAAGUCCCAGUAAACGGCGGCCGUAACAAUAACGGUCCUAUGGUAGCGAAAUUCCUUGUCGGGUAAGUUCCGACCUGCACGAAUGGCGUAACGAUCUCCCCGCUGUCUCUAACGUGGACUCAGCGAAAUUGAACUGUGUGUCAAGAUGCACACUACCCGCGGUUAGACGGAAAGACCCCAUGAACCUUUACUCCAGCUUUGCACUGGUAUCAGGAUUGUGAUGUGCAGGAUAGGUGGUAGGCAUCGAAGCGGGGACGCCAGUUCCCGUGGAGCCUCCCUUGAGAUACCACCCUUCGCCAUCUUGAUAUCUAACCGCGGCCCGUUAUCCGGGUCCGGGACCCUGCAUGGUGGGGAGUUUGACUGGGGCGGUCGCCUCCCAAACAGUAACGGAGGCGCGCGAUGGUUGGCUCAGACCGGUCGGAAAUCGGUCGUUGAGUGCAAUGGCAGAAGCCAGCCUGACUGCAAGACUGACAAGUCGAGCAGAGACGAAAGUCGGUCAUAGUGAUCCGGUGGUCCCAAGUGGGAGGGCCAUCGCUCAACGGAUAAAAGGUACUCUGGGGAUAACAGGCUGAUGAUGCCCAAGAGUCCAUAUCGACGGCAUCGUUUGGCACCUCGAUGUCGGCUCAUCUCAUCCUGGGGCUGGAGCAGGUCCCAAGGGUAUGGCUGUUCGCCAUUUAAAGAGGUACGUGAGCUGGGUUUAGAACGUCGUGAGACAGUUCGGUCCCUAUCUGCCGUGGGUGCAGGAGACUUGAGAAGAGUUGACCCUAGUACGAGAGGACCGGGUUGAACGAACCACUGGUGGACUAGUUAUCGUGCCAACGGUAGUGCUGGGUAGCUAUGUUCGGACAGGAUAACCGCUGAAGGCAUCUAAGCGGGAAGCCCCCUUCAAAACAAGGUCUCCCUUGAGGGCCGUGGAAGACCACCACGUCGAUAGGCCAGAGGUGUAAGCGCAGCAAUGCGUUCAGCUGACUGGUACUAAUUGCUCAA
rnacentral:rRNA from 1 species